rnacentral:lncRNA from 1 species
CGGAGGUUGGGGCGCUGGCCCCACUGCACAGUAGAAAAUCCACUAUAACUUUGACUCCCCCAAAACUUAACUACUAAUAGCCUACUGUAAGCCUUACAAAUAACACAGUCAAUUAACACAUAUUUAAUAUGUUAUAUGUCUUAUAUACUGUAUUCUUAACAAACAUGCCAGAGAAAAGAAAAAGAAAAUCAUAAGGAAAAUAUAUUUACUAGUUAUUAAAUGGAAGUAGAUGAUCAGACAGGUCUUCAUCCUCAUCCUUUUCAUGGGCAGGGUGUGGAGAAAGAUGUAGAAUUGUUGGUUUUGCUAAGUGGACCUGCACAGUUCAAACCCCUGUGGUGCAAAGGCCACCUGUAUAGCCAUUGAAUAGCAAUUUAUUUUUAGAAAUUAACCUCACUAAAAUACUCUUAGAAGGAUGCCAAGAAAAAAAACGAAUAAGUAUUUUUGGUUCAUCUAUUUCAUCAUUUCAUUUCAUCAUUUCAUUUCAUUUCCUCAUUUCAUCAUUUCAUUCUUUUAUUUCAUCAUUUCAUCUCAUUUCACCUCAUCAUUUCAUCAUUUCAUUUCAUCAUUUCAUCACAUUUCAUUUCAUCAUUUCACUUCAUCUCAUUUAUUCAUUUCAUCUCAUGAUUUCAUUUCAUCUCAUGAUUUCAUCUCAUUUCAUCUUUUCAUCUCGUCAUUUCAUCUUUUCAUCUCGUCAUUUCAUUUCAUCAUUUCAUUUCAUCUUUUCAUCUCAUUGCAUUUCAUUUCAUCAUUUCAUCAAUUCAUUUCAUUUAUUUCAUCAUUUCAUUUCACCACUUCAUCAUUUCAUCAUUUGACUUCAUUUUAUCAUUUCAUAUCAUCAUUUCAUCACUUCAUCUUUUCAUCAUUUCACUUCAUAAUUUCAUCAUUUCAUUUCCUCAUUUCCUCAUUUCAUUUCAUCCUUUCAUCAUUUCAUCUCAUCAUUUCAUCCUUUCAUUUCAUUACAUCAUUUCAUCUCAUCGUUUGCAUUUCGUCACUUCAUCAUUUCAUUUCAUCAUUUCACUUCAUCUCAUCAUUUCAUCUCAUGAUUUCAUUUCAUCUCAUUUCAUCUUUUCAUCUCAUCAUUUCAUCAAUUCAUCAUUUCAUUUCCUCAUUUCAUUUCCUCAUUUCAUUUCCUCAUUUCAUCAUUUCACUUCAUCAUUUCAUUCCAUCAUUUCAUAUCAUUUCUUCAUUUCACCAUUUCAUCAUUUCAUUUCAUCAUUUCAUCAUUUCACUUCAUUUCAUUUCCUCAUUUCAUUCCACUUCAUCAUUUCAUUUCAUUUCUUCAUUUCAUCAUUUCAUUUCAUUUCAUCAUUUCAUCAUUUCAUUUCAUUUCAGUGAUACAUGUAUUUAAGUGCUAAUGCGAUGCCCAGGAGACACCCUAUUUCCCUUUGUAAAACACCUCCUUCAACAAAAGGCAACCUCUCAUGUCUGGCUAAGUCUACAGGGAUACCAGCCUCUCUUCAACCACCCAAUUUGAUUUAGAACCUCAAACAGCACCUCAGUUUCAUAAAAAC